GCCGCUUCGGGAGAGCGGGCAGUUCUAGGAGGCCGACCUGGAGAGCCUCCCGGUUCCCCUUCCCCUUUUCCCGGACCCCGCGGGGACACCCCCUCGCCGCCACCCGGGCCUCCCCGAGGGCCCAACUGCGGGUCAGGCGGCCCGGGCCAGCCGAAAGGGAAGUGGGGCUACCCCACAGCCAGGCAGCGGGGCUGGGGUCAGACCCGGGAGCCGGAGGUUGGAGACGUGCGACAGUCACCUGCGGGCAGAUUCCAGAGGGGAGACCCAGGGCUGCAGGGGACGCCCCUUCGUGGCAGCUACCCAGCCUCGGCCCACUGCCAGUGUUACGUGGCUGCAUGACCAUACACUUCUGGGUAGAGCCCAGUGGAAGACAAAGAAGACUCAAGGAAUAGCCCUUGAGGGCUCAGGAGCUAUACAGAUGGGAUAGAGGGUGUGAGUGCUGGGAAGCCCCAUCCAUGGCUCGCUGGAGAUUAGAGGCCUGUUAAUCUGAAGACAAAGGAAUGAAGACGAAAACGUUUCUGAAAAUGUGGGUGGAGACACCUGGGCCUUUACAGGGUACGCUCCAGAGCUGCUUCCAGGCAGGGACCCCGGCUGAGAGAAGCCAGAGCCAGAGAGUCGCAGGCUUGCUUGCUCUUAUCUUCCCUCUGCUGGGGGGGUCGAGGGGAGAUCUGGCCCCUCUGCUCUGCCCUCCUGAUUUCCCGUCUAAGGGAUUUAGGAGACUUUUGCCUUUUCCUAAUCUCUCCCUUUGCAGAAUUUCUGCGAAGUCACAAUCCCAUUUCCAGGCAAAGGUGCUUGGUCAUAAAGAUAAU
rnacentral:lncRNA from 1 species